rnacentral:rRNA from 1 species
AUGGAGCCCCUCCAACGGCUUCUCGAUGUUGCAGUGGACACAGGGGUCAUCUCCAAGCUCCAGGGUCGGCUGCCACAGCUGCGGGCUUCCCUCUACACCGACGAUGUUGCUCUCUUCCUCGACCCCGUGAAGACCGAGCUGGCAGCUCUCCGCUCCAUUCUUACUGCUUUUGGCCUGGCUUCCGGGCUUAAGGUAAACUUCAAGAAAAGUGUCGUCCUCCCCAUAAGGUGCGAGCAGUUGGACGUGCAUGACGUGAUCUCACCUCUAAGGGCUAGGGUUGAGAGCUUCCCCUGCAAAUUUUUGGGGCUGCCGCUGUCGCUUCGGACCUUGCGUAAAGUGGACCUGCAGCCGCUGCUGGACAAGCUCCGCACACGCCUGGCGCGCUGGAAGGCCAGGCUGCUCACCCUUGCUGGUAGACUGGUUCUCCUCAACUCCGUCCUGACUGCUUUCACCAUAUACUGGUCGGCCGUCUAUGCGCUCCCGCCAUGGGUUCGUAAGGAGCUAGAUCGGCUACGACGUGCAUGGUUAUGGCGUGGGGAGGAGGUGUGCCAUGGCGGGCACUGCAAAGUUGUGUGGAGCCACGUUUGCUGCCCGCACGAUCUUGGCGGGCUCGGUAUCGUCGACCUGGAGCGGUUUGGCAUGGCGCUCCGCCUCCGCUGGCUCUGGGCGGAAAGGACC